GGCGGGGUAGCUCAGCCUGGUAGAGCGCCGGACUCAUGAUCCGGAGAUCGCGAGUUCAAAUCUCGCCCCAGUCA
rnacentral:tRNA from 1 species